UCAAACUUGGUCAUUUAGAGGAAGUAAAAGUCGUAACAAGGUAACCGUAGGUGAACCUGCGGUUGGAUCAUUACUGAAUGCAACCUAGGGGCUUGGGGUUUUGGCGGGCCUGGCUGCAGAUUGGGAGCUGAUUACCGGCUCCUGGUUAUGCGGCUGGCGCUCACCCCCCGGCUUCUGCACUCCAUGUGAACCGAGCUGUGCCUUUGCUCUGGCGUGCUGCUGCUGCCUUUUGGGUCUUGGCCUUUGUGGCUGGGGCUCUCUUGCGGCUGUGAGCGGCAGGGCAAAACCUGUUCAAAACCCCUUUAUUCGUGAUUACCAGCCUGAAUUGUGCUGCAGCAAUGCAGAUAACCACAAAUAUCAAAACAACUUUUGGCAACGGAUCUCUUGGCUCUCGCAUCGAUGAAGAACGCAGC
rnacentral:misc_RNA from 1 species